UGGGCGCCGCCACCCUCGGGUGGCAGUCAUGGCCCGCAGCCAGGGGAAGCCGGUCGAAGUCCGGCGCUGACCCGCAACCGUAGGUCGAGGUCUCCUCGACGAGCCGGAGCACCUGCUGAGGGCAUCGAGGCUC
rnacentral:ncRNA from 1 species